rnacentral:lncRNA from 1 species
AAGAUUUUAAUCGUUCUAAUCCUUUUCGAAACUCUGCUGAAAUAUUAGUUUUCUUACCCCAGUGUAUGCUUGUUCUAAUACGUACAAAUUUCUGCUCAUAAUAAUUGUGCUGAUAUUUUGGUUUUAUGACCCAAUGUAUGCUUGUUCUAAGAUGGAAGCAUUUUGAAGUCAGUCUAAUAUUAUCGCUACAACUCUCAAUAAAUACAAAUUUCUAUAACAAAAAGAUCGCUCGGGUAUGUCUAAGGUCAAUAUGUUUCCUCAUGUGUUCUCCAACUGAAAAGUUUACAUGUUAUUGACUUGCAAAAAGGCCUAGUCAUUUUUUUCUUGUUUUUUGUCAUGUGCCAACGGGGUUUAU